CUAUAGCAUUUAGAUACCUUUCCAGCAACAUCUGGAAAACUUCUGAGGGAUUCCCCCUUCCCAGAAACCCUUGCUGCGAAAACUUCCUUAACUGAGUUUGGGAAGUGGGCUCCAUCCUCCUGCUUAACGCUUCAGCAAGUUAAGCAAGAUGGCCACACGAGGGAUGUUUUAUACCACUGACCACAUGCCAAAGGCGUUCCCAGAAACGCGCAGAUUUAAGCAUUGCACAGACGGCCGAGAGUGAUCUAGCACCUCCAACCUGAGCUGUGUAUUAUGUGGGGCACUAAGAGGUCACACUGCAUUCUCUCCUGUAGAUGAAGAUUUGUUGGUGCUACUAACUGGAGGACACUGUGGCAAUUUCCCACAUAAAUCACACCGCUGAAGCUAAGAACAUCAUUCUGGAUUGAGAUUAAUAUUUUCUCUUUUGGGCUGCGCCUGUGGCAUGCACAAGUUCCCGGGCCAGAAAUCGAACCCACACCACAGCAGUGACACCGGAUCCUUAACUCACUGUGCCACCAGGGGACAAGAUGAAUUUCAAAUGCUAUUCCAGGAGCUCCCUGGUGGCUCAGUGGGUUAAGGAUCUAGCAUUGUCACUGCUGUGUCUCUGGUUACAGCCAUGGCAUGGGUUUGAUCCCUGGCCCAAAAACUUCUGCAGGCCUUGGGUAUGGCCAAAUAAAUAAAUAAAUAAGAAUUAAAAAGUGCCAUUCCGGGUUCUAGGGUUUCAUGCAGUGCUCUUUCCACAGGCUUAUAAUUCUGACUAUUGGGGGGGUCCCCAUGGCUUCAGCUUUCUUCAUUUUCAUAAAUUAUGUGCACACACACUCAGACACAUACACACACAAUUAUUUCUACUGGCUGCCCUGAAAUAAGUCACAGUGUGAACACCCCUGGGCACCCGGGCAGGGAGAAGUGUGUAAGUGCACACAGAGCUUACUGCUCCCCAACCUCCACCCCGGAGCCUCCCCGGUGCUCCAGCCUCCGGUGGCUUCCCAGUGCCUCGGGUCCAUCACCUCCAUUUAUUUUUCCUCCUUUUCAUCUCUUCCUUCUGAGUCUACCCCCCCGCCCCACCAAUGACAGCUCAGGUCACUGAGGCAUACCAGUCACUCUGCCUAAAGCCAACUGACAUGGGAAUAACCAACACAUUCAGAGCCCCCAGGGGCAGCCCUUCUGCUACCAAAGAUGACUUUGCCACACUCAAAGGAACACCACGUCCUCGCCUCUUUCUCAUCCCUCUUCCAAUUGACAGUGAGCGUAGGGGGUAGGUUCUUUGCACAACCUGCUUUCUGGUGCCACCUGACUGCCCAGACCACUGCUUUGCCCACGAGCACCAGCCACACUGGAAACACUGCUGGAGUCGUAACGAAAGGCCAAUUGCAGGCACUUGGAUCAAGGCCCAGCCUAUCAGGAACCUACACCUGGUUGGAGGAUGUGGCCUGUGACAGGAGUCACUUUCCAGUGUGGUCAAUGCCGGGAUGCAGGUACAAGCAGAAGGCCACGAGGGACUGCAAGGAGCAAGGUCCCCCCAGUGAAAGCAAAUCCUUCAACGUGAGAUAGAAAGUCACAAGGGGCAGUUCCUAUUGUGGCUCAGUGGUAAGAACCCCAGCUAGUAUCCAUGAGGUUGCAGGUUCAAUCCCCGGCCUCGCUCAGUGGGUUAAGAAUCUGGCAUUGCUGUGAGUUGUGGUGUAGGGUGCAAAUGUGGCUCAGAUUCUGCGUUGCUGUGGCUGUUUGGUAUAAGCCAGCAGCUGCAGCUCCAAUUCAAACCCUAGCCUGGGAAUAUUCAUACGCUGCAUGUGUGGCCCNAUACCACUGACCAAAAAUCUUGACUAUCUCUUUGAGUUUCCUCGGUUCAAUGACUGUUCCAUCACCACAUUGAGGCCCCUGGGGCUGCUACAUGGUGGAGGGUACACUCUUCUCAUCACUGAAAAACUAAGGCAGGAGCAAAAGGGGGCACAUCUGGAUCUUCAGCUAAAGAAUGAGGAGAAAAGCAAUGCUUACCCAUGAAGAGAUGAUCA
rnacentral:lncRNA from 1 species